rnacentral:rRNA from 1 species
CCUACGGGUGGCAGCAGUGGGGGAUAUUGCACAAUGGGGGGAACCCUGAUGCAGCGACGCCGCGUGGGUGAAGAAGCGCCUCGGCGCGUAAAGCCCUGUCAGCAGGGAAGAAAAUGACGGUACCUGAAGAAGAAGCCCCGGCUAACUACGUGCCAGCAGCCGCGGGAAUAAGUAGGGGGGACGCGGUAUCCGGGUUUACUGGGUGUAAAGGGGGCGCAGACGGCGAUGCAAGCCAGGAGGGAAAGCUCGGGGGCCAACCCCGGGAGUGCUCUUGGAACUGCGUGGCUGGAGUGCAGGAGGGGCAGGCGGAAUGCCUGGUGUAGCGGUGAAAUGCGUAGAUAUCAGGAGGAACACCGGUGGCGAAGGCGGCCUACUGGACUGCAACUGACGUUGAGGCCCGAAAGCGUGGGGAGCAAACAGGAUUAGAUACCCCUGUAGUC